rnacentral:rRNA from 1 species
GUAGGGAAUCUUGCGCAAUGGGCGAAAGCCUGACGCAGCCAUGCCGCGUGAAUGAUGAAGGUCUUAGGAUUGUAAAAUUCUUUCACCGGGGACGAUAAUGACGGUACCCGGAGAAGAAGCCCCGGCUAACUUCGUGCCAGCAGCCGCGGUAAUACGAAGGGGGCUAGCGUUGCUCGGAAUUACUGGGCGUAAAGGGAGCGUAGGCGGAUAGUUUAGUCAGAGGUGAAAGCCCAGGGCUCAACCUUGGAAUUGCCUUUGAUACUGGCUAUCUUGAGUAUGGAAGAGGUAUGUGGAACUCCGAGUGUAGAGGUGAAAUUCGUAGAUAUUCGGAAGAACACCAGUGGCGAAGGCGACAUACUGGCCCAUUACUGACGCUGAGGCUCGAAAGCGUGGGGAGCAAACAGGAUUAGAUACCCGGGUAGUC